AAGAGAAUAGGAGAGACAAAUCUAUGUCUCUUGCAUUGAGAAGAACAUUGAGGCAUAGGAAAAAAAAAAGGAAUUGCUGAGAUAUCAUUUCAAUCGUCAUCUUUUUGUAUCGGUGAUUUGAUUGUUUCUCGUCCAUAU